rnacentral:lncRNA from 1 species
AGGUGGCUUCUCAAUAGCUAGAUCAAUUAAAAGCUGGUUAUCACCAGCCUCCCCUUCAUCCAAAAGGGACAAGUUUGACUUGGGGAGGUAAGUAGCUAUCUUUUGUCGAAGUAAAUCUUGUCUGAGGAAGAAAGCUUCCUCAGCGAACUUGACCUUCUCCUUGGUGAACUCUUGAGAGGCGCAAAACUCCUCAACCGCC